AGAGUUUGAUCAUGGCUCAGGUUUAACGCUAGCGGUGUGCCUAACACAUGCAAGUCGAGCGUUCACUUUUUUAUAGAGUGGAGCGGCAAACGGGUGAGUAACACGUUGGUAACCUGCCCCAAAGUGAGGGAUAGCCCGCCGAAAGGCGGAUCAAUACCGCAUAUGUCCAGCACCUUUUUGAGAAAUGAUGUUCACUUUUAGUUAAUUAAUCUUAGUUAAUUAAUUAAUAUUGAAGGGCCUUUAAUCAUUUUUCAAAAAAGUGCUGGGUAAAGUCUUCGGACGCUUUGGGAGGGGCCUGCGGCGUAUCAGCUUGUUGGUAGGGUAACGGCCUACCAAGGCUAUGACGCGUAGCUGGUGUGAGAGCAUGACCAGCCACAAUGGGACUGAGACACGGCCCAUACUCCUACGGGAGGCAGCAGUGAGGAAUUUUCCGCAAUGGGGGAAACCCUGACGGAGCAACACCGCGUGCGGGACGAAGGGCUUUUGCCUGUAAACCGCUUUUCUGAAGGAACAAGUUCUGAGCUCACUUCAGGAAUAAGCGCCUGCUAACUACGUGCCAGCAGCCGCGGUAAUACGUAGGGCGCAAGUGUUAACCGGAAUUAUUGGGCGUAAAGCGUCUGUAGGCGUUUUGAAAAGUCUGAUGUAAAAUUUUCCUGCCCAACAGGAAAAACGUAUCGGAAACUUUCAGAAUUGAGGAGGUCAGAGGCUAGUGGAAUGCUGCAUGUAGGGGUAAAAUCCGUAGAUAUGCAGUAGAACACCAAAAGCGAAGGCAGCUAGCUGGGACCUUCCUGACGCUGAGAGACGAAAGCGUGGGGAGCGAACGGGAUUAGAUACCCUAGUAGUCC
rnacentral:rRNA from 1 species